ensembl:lincRNA
CAGGGCUGUUCCAGUUCCUUAGAUGCCUUACAUACCUCAAUUAAGUCCACUUUUGUCAGAGAGUUCUUCUGCUCCAUGGAAAUUGUUCACCUGGAAGUGAAAGAAACUUCUAGUCUACAGCUCUGCUUUCUUCCUUUUAACAUUCACAUACGCUAUUGUAUCAUCAUCCUGAGCAACAAAACGAUUGGACAAUUAAUAUAUGUUGCAGAAGGAAAAGGCAUGAUCCCUUUGCCUUCCAGUUUCCUUCCAAUGAAUUAUUCUUCAAGUUCAGUUGAUUACAGCAGUACUCCAAAAGAAGGCACUAAUAAGGAAGAUCCAGUUCUAUAUUUGAAAUGCAAACUCCAUGAAAUCCUGAAUGUGGACCUUCAAUUGCCGAUGACUAAUGAAGCCAAGGAAAAGGCUUUGGCUUUUGCAGCGCAGCGACAGAUGUCAAGUAUUGAGUAUGAGCGACGGUUGAUCACAGGCACUCUAGAGAGCAGUAGUGUCCGCAUGGUCAUUGCCCUCCUGGGGCUGACUAAGAUUGAGACUCUUAAGCUCUUUCAUGCCUCAAAGUUGAAGCAGCCUAAGACAGUUUCAUACACAACAGAAGUGAGCCUUCCAGAAUAUUUUCGUAUCCCCAAGAAAAUCUACAUUCCUCAGAUUCCAAAACCUCAAACUAAAUUGACUAAAUCUCAAGGAAUUAAACCUGCAAAAGAAAGAGAUUCAGAUCGAUCUGUUCCAGUUCCUUUAGAGUUUAUUCCUCUCCUUCCUGGACGCUACCCUUGUAAAAUUUUAUUGCAGUCAAGAUAUGAUGUGCGUGCCUAUUAUGUUGAAGGUAUUGUGAAUGAAGAACAACCAGAGGCCAGCUUCAAAUUCGAAACACCAGCAUUUGAAGCUCUUACUCAGAAUAUUCCAAUAAAAAAUCAAACAAUGAAUGAAUGGAAAUUUCAAGUUACUAUAGAAGGAGAAUGGUUUUAUGGACCUACUUUUUUAUGUGUUCGAUCAGGUGAAACUGUGAAAUAUCCUCUCACAUUCAAACCUAUUUUGGAAUGUGUCAUUAUGGGUAAACUUAUUCUACAAAAUGAAGUAAAUGGUAUGGAGCACAUCUUUGACAUAAAAGGGGUUGGAAAAAAACCUGCAGCCUUGGACCACAUCACUGUGAAAUGUCAAGUAGGCAAUGAGACAAAAAGACGUAUAAUAUUGCCUGAUUUUGCAACUACUGCCCUAACAUUUAAGGUGACUACAGAUCUUCCGAUAGUGUGGGGAAAUCCAGAGAUUACCAUAUACCCGUAUAAACAAAUUCCAUACAUUCUACAUGUGCACCCUUGGAAACGUGGUAUAAUGAAAGGUACAAUUAUAUUUUCUUUUAUAAGAAAGAAAUGUGAUGAUUGUGAGGAAGACACAGAUCAAGAUCAAGCAACCUCCUUUCUUGAUUCAAUAACAGAACAAUCUAGCACUUUUGAUUCUGGAGACCCAGAUGAUAAAUUUAGCAAUUUAAGAAUCUACUAUAAUCUUGAGAUCCACAGCACUCCUGGACCACCCAUAGACAUUAUGGAAAUGGCAUGUAGGGCUUUGAAUACGACUUGUAUUGAAAUACCAAUCUCCAAUCCAAAAAAUCACGUUCUUCGCUUAGAUGUACAGUUAAUGAGUGCUGCCCUUGAUGGUGAUAGUGAAAUAAUCCUGAGCCCACUACAGUGCACCAGCUAUAUUUUAUGGUACUCUCCAGCAAGAACAGGCCAUAGUGAUGAAAGCAUUAUUUUUCAGCCUGAAAUGGCUGAUGAGUUCUGGUAUUUACUGAAACUAACUAUUGAAUUACCAAAACCAAUCACAAUGUCAGAAGUAGAGUGCGACCUUGGCAAGUAUGUCACUCAGAUCAUUCCCUUAGCUAAUACUACACAUGAAACCUUAGAACUGCAAGCAACAAACAGUAAUCCUGAAAAUUUUGUCCUGGAUCUUGACAUGAAAUCACAACUGAUCAUAACUCCUCACUCCACCAGGGAGUUAUCUGUUCACUUUUACCCUUCUGCACUUGGAAGAGCUCAUCAUCAAGCUUGCAUCAACUUCCACUGUACUCAGUUUACAGAAUGGAAAUUCCACUUAUCUGGAGUAGGACUAUUUCCCCAGCCUCUAGACGCGAAAAGAAUAAUCACAUGCAUUGGUCUUCAGUCAUCUAUGGUUAUAGCUUUCAAAAAUCCCACAAUGGAAAAGGUCCUCAUUGAUAUCACACUGACAAGUCUGGAACAUCCCAGGCAUCUUGUCAUUAAUCCUUGCUGGGAUAACUUCAUCUGUGAGAAUUCUGCCUUCCGAUUUAGUUCUUUGCAUCAAACGCAAGAAAAUGGUUAAGGUAGGUAGGCAAAUUUUACUCUUUCAAUUCAUCUAUAUAGUGCUUUUUUGCUAUGUAAUGAAAACUUAAUUUGAUUGCUCCUCACUUAAUUAGCCAAUUUCCACUUUUUUGGUUAAAUAAUAAUAAUAAUUUUGUUGCUAUUUAAGUUUGAAGUGUGACUUAUC